rnacentral:lncRNA from 1 species
AGGUAUGUAUUCUUUUUAACAGAAUGUCUUUUCUUUGUUCUAUUUCAGAAGAAAAAAUGGUGACUGAGUUGUACAGRAGAACCAGGACAAUCCAAAAAGGGCAGGUGGCUGCUGGGAAGCUACUGCAGGAAAGGAGGUUUACUAACGUGUUCGAGGCCUGGAAUUACGCAGUGGAGCAGUAUAUUUUAGAAGCUAUGGAGAAAGUUCAGAACAACAUGGCUAAAAGGUGCGUUGCUCAGAAACAUAGGCCUUUUGCUUAGCU